AUUAAAUAGAUCAAAAAUUAGAAUUUAAACUUGACAUGUUUAAUAAACAGAUAAUUCGACCAGACUCUUUUAACCUGUUUAUUAAAUGGGUAAUCUGUUAACACAAUCCGACUUAAUCUAUUUAAAAUAUAAUCUAUUAGCCCAACCCAACACAAUCUGAUCCAACCUAUUUAAUUUAUUUAAAAUAAAAUCUAUUUGCCCUAUCCA
rnacentral:lncRNA from 1 species